AGACAGAGUCUCGCUCUGUCGCCCAGGCUGGAGUGCAGUGGGGCGAUCUCGGCUCACUGCAAGUUCAGCCUCCUGGGUUCAAGCCAUUCUCCUGCCUCAGCCUCCCAAGUAGCUGGGACUACAGGCGCCCGCCACCACGCCCGGCUAAUUUUUUGUAUUUUUAGUAGAGACGGGGUUUCACCGUGUUAGCCAGGACGGUCUCGAUCUCUUGACCUCGUGAUCUGCCUGCCUCGGCCUCCCAAAGUGCUGGGAUUACAGGCAUGAACCACUGCGCCCGGCCCAGAUUUCUUUUUAAAAGGCAGUUAGGGAUGGCAGUCUUAGACAAUGAGCUCCCCUAGUGCCCUUCCAAUGGAGAAGCACAACGAGAAUCUAAUUUGUAAAUACCAGGUCUUACACGGUGAGUGGGACUAGGAGAAGGCAUCGACUGCACGCUGGGGUCAGUUGCCUGGGAGCGAAUCCAGCUCCACUCCCUGCUGUGGCCUUGAGCAAGUAGCACUUAACCUCUCUGAGCCUCUUUCUGCAUCUGAAAAAUGGGAUUGGUCAUAAGGUUGCGAUGGGCAUGUGCCCCCUGAGAAACAUCAGUAAGGUGGCAAGGGUGGCGAAGACGCUGUUCCUCGGGUUUUGUUCCAGCGACGAAAGCUAAGUUCAUCAAGCCACAAGAAGAAAUCUCAGAUUUUUUUUCCCCCUAGGAAAUGUGAAAAUUGAAGGUUUCCUUUGAAGCCUUGUGGCAGAAGCUUCUGAAAGCCGAGUCACAGAUCUUGCACAGUGCUGUCCCAAACGCCGCUGAUGUGCAAACGGUGGCCCCCGUCCCCGUAGGGAGGCCAGAAUGGGACAGCAGAGAUUGCGGCAGGGUGUCCGGUGAGCAGGGGACCCUCACGGACCGGUCUAGACGCGAGACUAGGAUUUAUUUAUUAAUUCUUUCAACUGCGGCGGUGGAAUCAAGAUGGCCUAGAGGGCGCCAGGGGGCGCUCUGGAGAGGACGGGCGGCAGAUCCGAAUGGGCCCCGAGGAGGGCGGCGCCCCGGGUCACGCGCGACUUCUGCGGAACCCGCCUUUGCCGCGCAGUUUUCGGGAUUCGCGGGAAGAAGGCGCAGCCUCCCAGGCCCAACUCUCUCCCCAGCACUUUCGCGUGGAAAAUCUUCAGGAAAAUGAAAUGUAGCUCCCCGUAUGCCCUCUCCCCAAAGAUGUAAAGGACUCUGGAGCGGGCGCGAGGAGCAGUUCCUGUUUCAUUACGAGCGCCCCCUCUCCAGCCCGGUCAUUGUAGUGCGAACCAGAACAAUCAAAUUAACAGAGGCACUCAGGAGCCUUUUAGUGCUACUGUUCCAGGAACUGAAGAGGCCUCGGUAUGGGAAUCCCCACAGAGUAAUAAACAGCACGUGGUUGGAGCGCCGAGGAGGAGACUCGCUCCACCUGGUGGCGGUGAUGUCCUCUCGGAGGAGGUGGCAGGACACAGAGGCUGGCGGCCACAGACGGGAUCUGUAAUUCAGUGCCCGCCAUCACGUACCUCGGCCUGGCCCUGUGCAGCUUGGAAGCUGGAGACGGAGAAGGUGGAAAAUGAGAGUUCAUGGAGUGUCGGGCCUAAGCUGAAGGAGGCGGCGCUGCACGCACAGACGAAGGAAGGCGGCCCAGGGCGGCUGCUUGGUGUGGAGGCCACAGCCCAGCACGGGCGGAGCGGGGCGGAGCGGGAGGAUGGGCGGGAACGGCGCUGGGUGUUCCUGCUUCCUCCUCUAGCUCGCAGCCUUUCAUAGGAAAUUAAACAUUCAGCACUGGA
rnacentral:lncRNA from 10 species